AUACGGAGGGUGCAAGCGUUAUCCGGAUUUACUGGGUUUAAAGGGUACGCAGGCGGUAAUUUAAGUAAGUGGUGAAAGCCUACAGCUCAACUGUAGAACUGCCAUUGAAACUGAAUUACUUGAGUAUGGUAGAGGUAGGCGGAAUACAACAUGUAGCUGUGAAAUGCAUAGAUAUGUUGUAGAACACCGAUUGCGAAGGCAGCUUACUAAACCAUUACUGACGCUCAUGUACGAAAGCGUGGGGAGCGAACAGGAUUAGAAACCCAAGUAGUCC
rnacentral:rRNA from 1 species